UACCUGAGGUACACAGGAGUUGAGGUCUGAGCCACACCUGCAUUGGCCCCCAAGUUCAGUCUGAUGGGUUUGUCUCCAGAAAAGUUGAUGGUGACAAUGUGGAGGCAACCAGUGAUUAGAAAGAUCUCAGGAUAAUAGUGAAACUGACCAUUCAGAACUGACAGACGAAGCUGUAGCUCCUGCAUGGAUCAUUAAAGCCCCCAAGGAGCCACAGACACAGAGGGAAGCAGAAAAACAUUAACCACAGUGGAAGUAUCACUCUUGAUGAGACUGGCAGCACUGUCUGAAACCAGUCUUUAUCUAGAAAACGUUCUGGAACUGUUAAGAUCCUGCGCCCUGCACACACAAUCAGUGAGCUGCCACCUUCAUGACAUCAUAGAUGGAAGCAGCAGUCAUGCAGUGGAAUCCUCACCUAGU
rnacentral:lncRNA from 1 species